GGGGGGGGGGGGGGGGGGGGGGGGGGGGGGGGGGGGGGGGGGGGGGGGGGGAGGGGGGCGGCUCGGAGGGGAGCGGGGGGCGGGGGAGUGACGCGUGGAGCACCUGCCUGUAAGACUGGGAUGACUGCGGGAACCCGGAGCUAAUACCGGAGAAGAUUUUGAACCGCAUGGUUCAAAAGUGAAAGACGGUCUUGCUGUCACUUCUCGAUGGCUCCGCGCUGCAUUAGCUAGUUGGUAAGGUAACGGCUUACCAAGGCCACGAUGCAUAGCCGACGUGAGAGGGUUGUCGGCCACACUGGAACUGAGACACGGUCCAGACUCCUACGGGAGGCAGCAGUAGGGAAUCUUCCGCAAUGGGCGAAAGCCUGACGGAGCAACGCCGCGUGAGUGAUGAAGGUCUUCGGAUCGUAAAACUCUGUUAUUAGGGAAGAACAUAUGUGUAAGUAACUGUGCACAUCUUGACGGUACCUAAUCAGAAAGCCACGGCUAACUACGUG
rnacentral:rRNA from 1 species